rnacentral:rRNA from 1 species
AUUGAACGCUGGCGGCAGGCCUUACACAUGCAAGUCGAGCGGAGCGGCGGACGGGGGAGUAAUGCCUAGGAAUCUGCCUGGUAGUGGGGGAGAACGUCCGGAAACGGGCGCUAAUACCGCAUACUAUCAGAUGAGCCUAGGUCGGAUUCGGUAGUUGGUGGGGUAAAGGCCUACAAAGGCGACGAUCCGAAACUGGUCUGAGUGGAUGAUCAGCCACACUGGAACUGAGACAAGGUCCAGACUCCUACGGGAGGCAGCAGUGGGGAAUAUUGGACAAUGGGCGAAAGCCUGAUCCAGCCAUGCCGCGUGUCUGAAGAAGGUCUUCGGAUUGUAAAGCACUUUAAGUUGGGAGGCGUUACCAACAGAAUAAGCACCGGCUAACUUCGUGCCAGCAGCCGCGGUAAUUC